UACACUCCUGCGGGAGGCAGCAGUGGGGAAUUUUGGACAAUGGGCGAAAGCCUGAUCCAGCAAUGCCGCGUGAGUGAAGAAGGCCUUCGGGUUGUAAAGCUCUUUUGUCAGGGAAGAAACGGUGAAAGCUAAUAUCUUUUGCUAAUGACGGUACCUGAAGAAUAAGCACCGGCUAACUACGUGCCAGCAGCCGCGGUAAUACGUAGGGUGCAAGCGUUAAUCGGAAUUACUGGGCGUAAAGCGUGCGCAGGCGGUUUUGUAAGUCUGAUGUGAAAUCCCCGGGCUCAACCUGGGAAUUGCAUUGGAGACUGCAAGGCUAGAAUCUGGCAGAGGGGGGUAGAAUUCCACGUGUAGCAGUGAAAUGCGUAGAUAUGUGGAGGAACACCGAUGGCGAAGGCAGCCCCCUGGGUCAAGAUUGACGCUCAUGCACGAAAGCGUGGGGAGCAAACAGGAUUAGAAACCCGGGUAGUCC
rnacentral:rRNA from 1 species